AUGCCUUACGCAAAAGAUGCAAUAGCUCAUGCCGAACAACAGAGUAAAUAUUUCAUGGUCAUGGCACUUAAAGGACUACCAUCAGAACUCGAAUACGUUCGUAACCAGAUUUUAUCAGGUACUACUGUUCCUAACUAUGAUACAGUUAGUGAACAAUUGUUGCGCUUGUCUACACCUCAUGCGUUUGGCCCGGUUUCUCCUUCAUCUAUUGUUAUUCCAACACCAGGUGACACUGCUGCUCUUGCAUCUCUUGGCAACAAUCAGAAUCGCCUUCGAGGAGGGUCAUCCAACUCCAAACCUCGUCCUAAGUGUAACCAUUGUAACCGAAUUGGACAUACUAUCGAUCGUUGCUGGAAGUUGCAAGGCAAACCUCCACGGCAGGUAA